UAAUCAAGGUUAAUCAUUUGUAAUGCAAUUCCUUUCUGUUUAGCGGGUGGGGUUGGAUUGCUGUGGCUUGUGUAUUUGAAGUGUUUCAAGAAACGCUCAGACCAUGAAAAGGUUGAAAAAAAGGAUGAGGAUGGAUUCUAACUCCCUCACAUACCUGGUCUUCAUGAAGUUGUCCUGCAUGAAAUCCAAGUGAAGAAUCCUGCAAAUAUAUAUACGCACUUCCCAGAACCCGGCAAGAGGCGGACUGAUUUCCCGCAACAAAUUCCUCCAGUCAGAACCAAUGUUGCUUUAAAAACACGAGCUUAAUUUAGAAAAACUCCUUUCUAGCAGUCUCUAACUUUUUUCCCAUUCUGUACUCUAAAACAGAUCUGUCAUCGUCACAUAAGUAAGGUUGAUUUCACGUUUAUAAAGUGUAUGCUUGUCAUUUCUUAAUUUUUAACACUGUUAAUACAGUGAUCACUCUUCCUGAGAACAUCUAAGGAUUCAUGACAAAAAAAGUGCACUGACUGUCCCUUAGCUUACCGAUUUAGUCGAGGGCUGCGUUUAGCAUGAAUAUUUAUGUAGAAAGUCAAUCAAAUUUAAAAGAGAUGAAUGUCUGAAUUUGUAACUAUUUCAUAGUAUUUGGGAAUCCACAUUGUUCAAACAAAACCAAAUGUUGUACAAUGCUCAAGGCUUUGUUUUCAUUUUGCCUGUUGUUACUUUUCAUUUGGAUAAAACGUGUAUAUUACCCUUCCAGUAGAUACACUGCAGAAUGUAAUUUUCAGCGCAGAUUUUAAACUGAAAGUUCUGCGAAAUCCUG